rnacentral:tmRNA from 1 species
CUUUUCGUAACUGAGUCCGUCGGCUACUUGUGCGUGAGAGAGCCGGGUCUGAGAAAACGUUAAUCGCACUACGCCCGUAGAAGAGCUGUUUUACUUACGAAGGACCCGGGUUCGAUUCCCGGCACCUCCACCA